UGGGGAAUAUUGCACAAUGGGCGAAAGCCUGAUGCAGCGACGCCGCGUGAGGGAUGACGGCCUUCGGGUUGUAAACCUCUUUCAGCAGGGACGAAGCGCAAGUGACGGUACCUGCUGAAGAAGCACCGGCUAACUACGUGCCAGCAGCCGCGGUAAUACGUAGGGUGCAAGCGUUGUCCGGAAUUACUGGGCGUAAAGAGUUCGUAGGCGGUUUGUCGCGUCGUUUGUGAAAACCAGCAGCUCAACUGCUGGCUUGCAGGCGAUACGGGCAGACUUGAGUACUGCAGGAGAGACUGGAAUUCCUGGUGGAGCGGUGAAAUGCGCAGAUAUCAGGAGGAACACCGGUGGCGAAGGCGGGUCUCUGGGCAGUAACUGACGCUGAGGAACGAAAGCGUGGGUAGCGAACAGG
rnacentral:rRNA from 1 species